ensembl:lncRNA
UGCUGUUGAAAUGGAAAAUAAUUUGUUUAAAUAUUAACUAAAAUGCCGAGUUGUUACUCAGCAUUCCUGCCACUGCCACUGCACUUUUCUCUGUAGCAUUAAAGUAGAAAAAUGAAUGCAGGGCAGGAAAGCAUGUCACCACUUGCAAGUGCUCUGUCUACCUUUAACAUAAAAAAAGCUCAUCUCCUGAAGCCCAACACCCACUUGUCCCAGUUUUCUGGUUUGCACAUGGGUAAAGUAAUUCACUGUUGACUGUAUGACACUAAUCUGUUCCUCUUCUUUAUGUUAGACAAUGAGAAGCUCAACAGUGUUCCAGUAGGAGAUCCUUAUAAACUGAGGAGUGUAUCACUUCCUGGUCGAUGGCGCUCUGAGCCCCAGUCUGGCAGCAACAAGAAGCUGUUGUCAGUAGGUAGUUACUCACAGUAGUGUGCAAGAGGAGCUGGGGUGGGUGUGCUGGGUUCAAUGUAGUGGCUGUUAAAAACACAGCUCUAAACCCUCCUGCAGCUCAGGCUGGGCAUGCCCCAGUGUCGAUCCUGUGAGAAAUUGGAUGUUGUGCUUUUUUUCCCCAUUGGUACACCUUGUUUUAAGCAAAGCUCUCUGUAGAAGUCAGUGAAGAGCUCUGCUGAAAAGUCUUCUGCCAUAGUACUCUUCCUGGUGAAUUAGCCAAUUUAAAGAAAAAUGUUUCAUUAAACUCCUCUUACUAAGAAGAAUUAAUAAACUCUUCUUAAUAAGAAGUUAUUAUUAAUAACAUAAUAAUUUUAAGUAUUUCAGUUGCCAGGCAAAGAAAAAAAAUGAGAGAACAACCUGUUGGUAAGUAAUAGAUAUACUAGUCCCUUUGUAAUAAUUAAUGUAACUGUAAUGUGCAGUUUUUCAUCUCAUUUUUUUUCUGACUGCAUCAACUCUAUGAAAACCCCUUUACCUCUUCGUGCAAACCUUGGCUAAUUCUUUCCACAUAAGUGAAAAAUAUCCCAUGAGAAAGCCUCUCUGGCACAAGGAUGUAACCACGAACAGAAAUGCAGUAUAACGUGUCUUCAACCUUGGCUUUUUUAAGAGCUCAUUGACUUUAAUAAACUCCAAGUUUAAAAAUCUGUUGUUUUCAUUCAUAUCAAGGUGCUGUGCCUGGGUGUGCUUUUCAAUAAUCAUUACUAUGUUGAUUUUAAUCAUUCUAUUCUAUAAAAGUUAAAACUAGUAUUUUAGGUAUGAAUUGAUUACGUAAUUUUGCUGUGCCUACCCAAAGGGCGCAGGCUAGGCUUUUCUUUGCAUGCUGACAUUGUUCUUCUGGCUUUUCAGUCAACGAAUAUCCACAGUUUCUCUUGCAAUUAUUCAAACAAGAUGAAAUAAUCUGUUUAAAUACUGAUGGAAAAGCACAGCCCUCUGUCACCCUGCUGUCAGAUCCGGAGCAAGGUGAGUGAGCCCCAUUACCCUUGAUAUCAAGGACAAGGAGAGUCACUUUAGUCUAUGAGAGUAGUUGGUGUCUCUGGGAAUCACCCCCUUUUGUGAAGGACUAUUUCAUACCUGCUGCCUUGCAGUGACCAAAGAGGCUGUGGUUAGUUUUUCCUUUCUAUUAGGCAAUAUUAACUUCCACUGUGCAACAGCUGAGCGCACUUCUCAUAGGUAUGGUUGGCCGUCACCUCCUUCUCCUGGUGUCACAGCCAUGGUCUUUAGGGUUAUCUGCUGCCCAGCCCUUGGAGCCUUUUGAGGAUUUAGAGACCUUAAGCCCCGUGGUCCCUGCCUGCUAAUAGAAAGGUGCACGCUCUUAACACACUGCAGUUUUCCUGUGGUCCUGUACUCAGAAGGGCCAUGGACUCUGGUGACCCCACCACAGCCUUGGGGCACAUGGAGCUGAAGCCUGUGGUACUGUGCCUCCCAGAACUAGGUUUGAGACCCGGAACUUGUUUCAGCAACAAAGCUGAAGCAGCUUUAUCGAGAUCACUUGUACCUUAAAAGCACAGUCACUUG